ACUAUUAUUUCCGGAAAAAAAACAGAAAAAAUAUCUUGUACAUCUCUUUUUUUGUUCCCGUAGAAAGUUCUGUUUCUUCAACCUAUCUCAUUGUCGUUGCCGUCCGUUCUACUGGCGAGAAGUGCACAAACAGCUAUGAAGUUUUCACUUAAAGGAGAGCCAGAGUCUAGAUCUACUGAUGACUACUGGAGAUUUUGGGAUACAGAGGUGUGUAGUACCAAGAACGUUCAAUCGGUUAAAUCUCCAGUAAAAAAAAACCUCAGCCCCUUACAGAUUUGUUAAGAAUCAGGCUGAACUUUGGUUUGUUCGCGGAUUGCAAAUAAUUAUUUCGAGGACUUCGUCUCGAUGUGAGAUCUUUAUUCCUUCCUAAGGGAGAAACUGAGGGACAUGGGACAUAAGUGAUCUAUAGAAAAGCUCAGCCAGAGACAUGGUGAAGGAGAGAGAGAUAAGAAAAUGUUGUAACAUCACAUAGCAAAGGGAAGGCACACUAACCAUGUAGUAAAUCUUAAAUGGAUGUGUUCUCAUUUAAAUUCAUUCGAUCAUCAUUUAGUACUAUGAUCAUAUGCUGAUUUGAUUUUUUUUAUUGUUUGCAGUAUACUGGAGGUGGAGAGAACCAGUACCAGUAAUCAAGAUGCAAAAGAAAAAUGUCAACUUGUCUGGACAACAGUCUUUUUCUAAGGUUAGUAAUUACUU